rnacentral:rRNA from 1 species
GCCGCGGUAAUACGAAGGGACCUAGCGUAGUUCGGAAUUACUGGGCUUAAAGAGUUCGUAGGUGGUUGAAAAAGUUGGUGGUGAAAUCCCAGAGCUUAACUCUGGAACUGCCAUCAAAACUUUUCAGCUAGAGUAUGAUAGAGGAAAGCAGAAUUUCUAGUGUAGAGGUGAAAUUCGUAGAUAUUAGAAAGAAUACCAAUUGCGAAGGCAGCUUUCUGGAUCAUUACUGACGCUGAGGAACGAAAGCAUGGGUAGCGAAGAGGAUUAGAUACCCUCGUAGUCCAUGCCGUAAACGAUGUGUGUUAGACGUUGGAAAUUUAUUUUCAGUGUCGCAGCGAAAGCGAUAAACACACCGCCUGGGGAGUACGACCGCAAGGUUAAAACUCAAAUGAAUUGACGGGGACCCGCACAAGUAGUGGAGCAUGUGGUUUAAUUCGAAGAUACGCGCAGAACCUUACCAACACUUGACAUGUUCGUCGCGACUUUAAGAGAUUAAAGUUUUCGGUUCGGCCGGACGAAACACAGGUGCUGCAUGGCUGUCGUCAGCUCGUGUCGUGAGAUGUUGGGUUAAGUCCCGCAACGAGCGCAACCCUCACUUUUAGUUGCCAUCAUUAAGUUGGGCACUCUGAAAGAACUGCCAGUGAUAAGCUGGAGGAAGGUGGGGAUGACGUCAAGUCCUCAUGGCCCUUACGUGUUGGGCUACACACGUGCUACAAUGGUAUCUACAACAGGAAGCAAGACUGCGAAGUUAAGCAAAUCCUUAAAAGAUACCUCAGUUCGGAUUGCACUCUGCAACUCGAGUGCAUGAAGCUGGAAUUACUAGUAAUCGUGGAUCAGCGUGCCACGGUGAAUGCGUUCCCGGGUCUUGUACACACCGCCCGUCACACCAUGGGAGUUGGUUCU